AUACGGAGGGUGCAAGCGUUAUCCGGAUUUAUUGGGUUUAAAGGGUCCGCAGGCGGGCCUGUAAGUCAGGGGUGAAAUCCGGCAGCUUAACUGUCGAACUGCCUUUGAUACUGCAGGUCUUGAGUGGGAAUGAAGCAGCUGGAAUGUGUGGUGUAGCGGUGAAAUGCAUAGAUAUCACACAGAACACCGAUAGCGAAGGCAGGUUGCUAAUUCUCAACUGACGCUGAGGGACGAAAGCGUGGGGAGCGAACAGGAUUAGAUACCCUGGUAGUCCACGCCGUAAACGAUGGAUACUGUCUGUUGGUUCGUAAGGAUCAGCGGAUAAGCGAAAGUGAUAAGUAUCCCACCUGGGGAGUACGUUCGCAAGAAUGAA
rnacentral:rRNA from 1 species